rnacentral:pre_miRNA from 1 species
GAGGCCUUUUGUUUCCCCCAAAGGGAACGCUUUUAACCAUUUCGGCUGCUGAAAUGGUUAAAGGUGUUCCCUUCGGGGGAAACAAAAGGCCU